GCACAUUGUAAAUUAUAAUCGAUCAGAGAGAGAUUACAUUAGCAUACAACUUGCGUGUAAAAGCCAGAAUUCAAUGAUUUGGUAUGAGUUAUCACGUGUUACGACACAUCCGUUAAAUGGCCAUUCCAUAAAGCCACAAGUAGAAACCCUAUAUCAUGGAAGCAAACUCAGACCCAGUUAAGUUGCAAUGGAGUUGAUCUAAAGAAACUGCAACCAACGGCAAUAUGGAUCUGUCUGGCAAAAAAAAUGAUCAUGAAUAAUCGGAUUGAACUCGUAUAUGAUGUUUAGAUCUCAAGCUUAUGUAGU
rnacentral:misc_RNA from 1 species